GGGAGCCAGGACCCAAGCUGUUUCAGGAUGUUUCUGGUCAUCCGUGAACUAUCUACAUCUCAAUUCCCUCCUUGGGGCAAUGUGAUUUGAGGGAAGUGUAAAAGCAACAGGAGGAGCACUUGCAAUCAGCCCCAUCCUCCACGCAGAUUGCUGGCUUGAUUACGGUAUUUAAGGACUUUCCUGGGCAAAAAGUUGCAGGCACUAAAGGCUGAGCAGACCUGAGUAGACUGAUCUACUCGUACAACAUCACCCAUCAGGACACCAUGAGUAUUGUUCAGAAGUGCUGCUCUGAACUGCACUGAAUCAUCCAUGAAAAAAAUAAAACCAGAAAACACAAGAAAAUGGUAAAACAAAUUACCAGCUGGAAACAGAAAUUAAAAUUAUGAAGGGAACCUUCCUGCUCUCCCACCAUCCUUCCAAAUUACUCUCAACACUGCAGAAUAAAUAAGCGUAGAAGAUGUAAUCAUAUCUACACCAAAACAUUGUGGUAACACUACGUAUAGGAAAUACAAAAACCUUAAUCAGACAAGGCAGAGAGAAGGAAGAGAAGAUGAUAUCAAAGACUGGAUGACCUCAAAAGUCCCCCUCCAACCUGAACGAUCCUGUGAUCCCAAAAAGACAAUCCACCUUAAUUUAAUAGAAGUUGAGCU
rnacentral:lncRNA from 1 species